GCUAGCCUUCUCCCACUCUGCACAGAUUGUCAACUAUGCUGGAUUUUUAUCGGGGUUUUUUCACAUAUUGGCUCCCAAAUGCUGAUACUCUGUGGGAAUGCAUAAAGGUUGAAGAGGACCGAGGCCUCGUUGAGGUGCGUCAACAUGGCCAUGUCCUCCAUCAUGUCGAACUUGGGUGGGUUCGUCGGCUGGAGGUCGUCUUCUUUGAUGAUCACAAACUGAAACAUAUGGAAGGACAACAACGUUUUAUUGAUCAAGUUUGUGUAAAAUUUCUUUCUAGAUUACCAUCAAAGGCCUGGGCCUUGGCCGCAAGUUGCUCCAGGUUGGUGAGACGAAGAUAGCGAGCAGCAUCUCCAAAAUCCUUCAGAUCCAAGAAGCGAGACAUCUAAAGACACACAAGAAAUUGAAGGAGGCGAGAGCAGACUUUGAUGAAGUGAAGGUUAAUGAGCAAGCAGCUGGGUGGAUCGAUCCUCUCCAAGAUAAGAUCAGCCACCAAUGUCACACUACUGUCCUUCCACGAACGACCUUGACACACUGGUGGUUCCCUCCUGCAGCGCUGGGAGGAAGUGAAGCACUGCCGCCCUGCUGGACGUCAACAAAACCCAUCCUCUGCCUCCUCUUCCUCUGCUCCGUCAUCUACGCACAAACACACACGCACACAGUCCAGUUAAAGCGCAAAUGUAAUCUCUCAUGGACUUUUAAAAAAGUAUGUAUUGGUUUUAUGAAGAAAUCAUCCUGAAAAAAUAUUAUAUAGGUGCACUUUUAGUCAAAAUAUUAGGCACAUUCAAAUUAUUUGGUACACCUAUGGCCAAAAUAAGUACAGGGAAAUUAUUUGGCACACCCAGUUAUGAUGGCAUGGGCUUGAAGACAGGAUCUAAUGAUGACACAAGUUUCAUUCGACUCAGGUUUUAUGCAGACAUUACCUCUAUACACAGUCAAACCUCUGUUUUCGGACGGCCCAGUUUUCGUAUGAUUUGGUUCUCAUUGAAAAUGCCUCCGUUUUUGUGCACAGUCUCCGUUUUCAUACAAACUUCCACAAACUAGUCCAUCUGCCCUGUAUCAUUCAACGAAUUCAGGUGCCCAAACAAAGCACCCUAGGCAUUGCUGACUCACUGUCAAUGCAUUUUUGAGUUGAGUAGGACUGCUAACUAACAUGCCAUGGGGCCAAACAAAGUUGUGUGUGCCAGCACAAGGGUGAAGCAUUAUUGUAAUUUUCAGUAUUUCAGUAUGCAAAGUAUGUAUCAACAAUAAGUUCCAUCAAUUCAUAAUUUAUGAAUAUUUUGUAUUGUUUUUUUGUAAGUAAAACUAUAAUUAUUAUCAAUAAAAUGUAAUUUCGUCAAUAUUUUUGGGCAUCUGGAACAGAUUAAUUGGAUUUACAGUAUUUCAUAGGGGAAAAAUUGCCUCGGUUUUUGUACAUUUUUGUUUUCAAGUAACCUUUUAGAAGGAAUUAAUAACAAAAACCAAGGUCCCACUGUGACUGUGAUCUAUGUAGCACUGUAACACUUAUUUGUUGGGAUCCUCCCAAAGUUAAAAUUGUUUUUAAAUAGUCAGUUGCCAGAUUAGAUGUUAGCGACAGGUACCUGCUCAUUUCAAAUUUAUGCUAUAAUUUUUUAGUUUUUUUGUGUAAAAAAGGUAUGUCAAUGUUUUUGAUAGUUUACGUGACCUUACCUGCUCUUUUAGCUCGGUGAGCUGCGUGGUGAGUGUCAUGACAACCUUGGUGGUGGAUGCCAGCUUGUCCUGCAGCAUCCUCAUCUCGUUCUGCUCGCCGUCGCCAUCUGUA